CACGUAGGGUGCGAGCGUUGUCCGGAUUUAUUGGGCGUAAAGAGCUCGUAGGCGGUUUGUCGCGUCGGCCGUGAAAUCUCCACGCUUAACGUGGAGCGUGCGGUCGAUACGGGCAGACUUGAGUUCGGUAGGGGAGACUGGAAUUCCUGGUGUAGCGGUGAAAUGCGCAGAUAUCAGGAGGAACACCGGUGGCGAAGGCGGGUCUCUGGGCCGAUACUGACGUGGAGGAGCG
rnacentral:rRNA from 1 species